rnacentral:SRP_RNA from 1 species
GCAGCGGGUAGGGCUGGAGGCCUGUCCUCUCCCUUGCCAGAAAUGGGCAUCAUGCUGGGGCCAGCAACCGGAGCGGCGAAGGGUUGGAGGGCCUGCGAGGAGCUCGGCCAAGUGGACGAUGAAGCCUUAGCCCUUGGGGGCGGAGGGUCGUCAACCCCUCCUGGAGGGGAGGGUGCUGGCGGCAGCUGCCGGGAACGGAUGAGGCCCGGAAGGGAGCAAUCACACCGGCUAACUCCGUCGUUCAAGGGGGACGGUGGAGUUCAUCGGGCUCGGAGUCGGCCCUCUACCACGGCUGCUCGGAGCCGCUGC